GAAAGAGCAGUUGAAUGGGUGAGGCUGCCGAAAAAGAGAGCUUCUGGCUGACCAUUUUGAGUUCCUUAAAAAAGGAAUAUAAUUUAGAAAAAAAUGCACGUAUCUUAACUUUACAGCUCCAUUGUUCUUCACCUGUCUACACACCUGUGAAAUCACCACCUGAUGAAUUGUAGGCGACUGUCAGGACUGCAGCGGGCUCCCUCCAGCCCCUUCCCAUACAGUGUCCCCCACUCCCGUACAGACACAGGACGCCACCCUUCCGGAUUCCAUCAACAGCCUCUCUCCAGCAGCUUCUGUGCCCUCCCAACUGCGUGAGGCCGCAGCCCCCACAGCCUCCUGAGGUUCAGGAAGCUGCCCUUCGGGGCCUGGCUUCACCCAGGCUGUGCUGCCCCUACAGGAGAGGCUGUCGGGACAGGGGAGCAGCCCAGCCGGCUUCCCCGGGUGAGCAGAGUGGAGGGCCCAGCCCUGGGGCACAAGGAGGCUCCCCGGGGACUGUAACCUGGCCUCCUGCAGGUCCCGGGGGAGAAUAGCACCGGAGGUAAUCACACCUCCCAGCUUUUCAUCUCAGCAUCUUCAAAGCACCCAUGAUGAAGGGGCGGCCCCUUUGAAGUUGUACCCAGUCACUGUAGCUCCGAGGCUGGCACGGCCCAGCCUCUUGCUUUCUCCUCUCCUCCCUCUCAUCAAAGCCUCUCUGAGGAAACCCUGGACCCUGCCUCCCUAGCUCCCCACCUGCAGUGAACCUCUCUUUCCCAAUGGCAGCCCUCCAGGGUAGCUGGCCGCAGCCUGGGAUUUUGUAGAGAAUCUGACCCAUGUUCCUAGGAACUCCAAGGAAACUGGCAGUAAAUCCUUCUCUUUGGCCUGCUUUCA